GACGAACGCUGGCGGCGUGCUUAACACAUGCAAGUCGAACGGAAAGGCCCUGCUUUUGUGGGGUGCUCGAGUGGCGAACGGGUGAGUGACACGUGAGUAACCUGCCCUUGACUUUGGGGUAACUUCAGGAAACUGGGGCUAAUACCGGAUAGGAGCUCCUGAUGCAUGGUGGGUGUUGGAGAGUUUCGGCGGUUGGGGAUGGACUCGCGGCUUAUCAGCUUGUUGGUGGGGUAGUGGCUUACCAAUGCAUUGACGGGUAGCCGGCCUGAGAGGGUGACCGGCCACAUUGGGACUGAGAUACGGCCCAGACUCCUACGGGAGGCAGCAGUGGGGAAUAUUGCACAAUGGGCGGAAGCCGGAUGCAGCAACGCCGCGUGCGGGAUGACGGCUUGCGGGUUGUAAACCGCUUUCGCCUGUGACGAAGCGUGAGUGACGGUAAUGGGUAAAGAAGCACCGGCUAACUACGUG
rnacentral:rRNA from 1 species